UACGAAGGGGACUAGCGUUGUUCGGAAUCACUGGGCGUAAAGCGCACGUAGGCGGAUGUGUCAGUCAGGGGUGAAAUCCCGGGGCUCAACCUCGGAACUGCCUUUGAUACAGCACGUCUCGAGUCCGGAAGAGGUGGGUGGAAUUCCUAGUGUAGAGGUGAAAUUCGUAGAUAUUAGGAAGAACACCGGUGGCGAAGGCGCCCACUGGUCCGGUACUGACGCUGAGGUGCGAAAGCUAGGGGAGCGAACGGG
rnacentral:rRNA from 1 species